rnacentral:rRNA from 1 species
GAUGAACGCUGGCGGCGUGCCUAACACAUGCAAGUCGAACGGAACUUCUUCGACAGAAUUCUUCGGAAGGAAGUUGAUUAAGUUUAGUGGCGGACGGGUGAGUAACGCGUGAGUAACCUGCCUUUGAGAGGGGAAUAACUUCCCGAAAGGGAUGCUAAUACCGCAUGAUGCAUAGAAGUCGCAUGGCUUUUAUGCCAAAGAUUUAUCGCUCAAAGAUGGACUCGCGUCCGAUUAGCCAGUUGGCGGGGUAACGGCCCACCAAAGCGACGAUCGGUAGCCGGACUGAGAGGUUGAACGGCCACAUUGGGACUGAGACACGGCCCAGACUCCUACGGGAGGCAGCAGUGGGGGAUAGUUGCGCAAUGGGGGAAACCCUGACGCAGCAACGCCGCGUGAAGGAUGAAGGUUUUCGGAUUGUAAACUUCUUUAUUUAGGUACGAAGAAUGACGGUACUAAAUGAAUAAGCUCCGGCUAACUACGUG